CGUCACUAUUUUUUCAUAUUAACCGGAAUCAACAAACGGUAGACAUUUGGUCUUAUUUGUAAAUGUCUGCAACCGAUAAACAUGUUGAGAUGGCCGAGUUGGUCUAAGGCGCCAGAUUAAGGUUCUGGUCCGAAAGGGCGUGGGUUCAAAUCCCACUCUCAACAU